GGCACAGUGCCUGGCACACGGUGGAGUCAAUUUCCAAAAGGACAAAGAUGGAAGCUGCAAGGUCUCUUGACACCUAGGCCCCGAAGUUGCACAGCAUCACGUCUGCCACAUUCUGUCGGUCAAAGCAAGUCACAAAGCCGGCUGAGAUGCAAAAGGUGAGGAAACAGAUGCCACCUCUUAACGAGAGAAGCUGAAAAUAUUGUGGCCAUGUUUUACCGUCUACCACACACACAAUCCACAAUUCAGCAAUUCUAUUUCUAAAUGUGUAGCCUAGACCCAGAGAGACUCUUAUACAAACUGACAGGAACAAGAAUGUUCAUUAUAGCAUCCUGUGUUACGGCAAAAUCGAAAACAAAAAUGCCCACCACUGGGAGAAUAUAUAGAUGAAAAAUGGCAUGUUCAUGCACUGGAAAACUAUACAGCAAUUGAUAAAGGAACUAGAUCUCUAUUUGCAACUCGGAUGAAUCAAAGAUUAUGCUGAUUGGGAAAAACAAGCUGUAGAACGAAAUGUAUGAAAAAUUAGCCAGGCAUGGUGGUGCAUUCCUGUAAUCCCAGCUACUUGGGAGGCUGAGACGGGAGAAUCGCUUGAACCCAGCAGGUAGCGGUUGCAGUGAGCCAAGAUUGAGCCACUGCACUCCAGCCUGGGUGACAGAGGAAGACUCUGUCUCAAAAAAAAAAAAAAAAAAGAAAAGAAGAAGAAGAAGAAGAAGAAUUAAAUGUAUAGUAUGAUAUAAUUUUAAGGAAAAAAUUUCAAAUACAAAGACAAUACUGUAUAUUAUUUUCAUAUACAUACGCAUGUAAAAGGCUAGGAGGUAAUUGAAGUGUUCAGCAUUAAUGAGAUGAGAUUCUGUACAAUGGGGAGAAGUGGAAUGGGCAUGGAGUGAAGCCGGACUGGACUAAUGAGGGCAUGUCAUCUCUAACAGAGGAGAAAGAUGAGUAAAUAGAUUCGUCCAGUUUGUGCUCUUGAGAUCCGCACAUACAGAACAAUUUCAAAAUAAGAAGACAAACUUGAGAGGGAGCCACGAAGGAAGAAGAUAAAGAGGGAUAACUGACCGAGGGAGAUUUGCAGAAGGUUGAAGGAGGGUUAGCAACACAUGUUGCGGUAGGAGCCUCGUUCCUGUGGGAGAGCCAACACAUACAGACAAUUCAUACUCAGUGCUUUCCUUUUAAAAAAGUGUUGCUUAUGGCUGGGCACAGUGGCUCAUGCCUGUAAUCCCAGCACUUUGGGAGACUAAGGUAGGGUGGAUCACUUGAGGCCAGGAGUUCAAGACCAGCCUGGCCAACAUGGUGAAACCCUGUCUCUACUAAAAAUGCAAAAAUAAAAAUAAAAAUUAGCCAGACAUGGUGGUACAUGCCUGCAAUCCCAGCUACUUGGGAGGCUGAGGCAGGAAGAUCACUUGAACUGGGG
rnacentral:lncRNA from 1 species